UGAUGCGAUCAUACCAGCACUAAAGCACCGGAUCCCAUCAGAACUCCGAAGUUAAGCGUGCUUGGGCGAGAGUAGUACUAGGAUGGGUGACCUCCUCUUGGGCGAGAGUAGUACUAGGAUGGGUGACCUCCUGGGAAGUCCUCGUGUUGCAUUCC
rnacentral:rRNA from 1 species